AUGAUGCGGUGCAGCCAAGGAUGACUUGCCGGCAAGCCCCUUUCCUAGAACCUAAGCAUCAUAUUUUUAGAUGGCUUCACAAUUAUGAGUCUUUUGACUUGGGGUUUGAUUUUAUAGCUUCACUUGUAGGGUUAAUCGGCAAGUUGUCUUUGGCUACACCUCUGCCUCA
rfam:Citrus sinensis cultivar Ridge Pineapple sweet orange scaffold00003_contig_398, whole genome shotgun sequence.